rnacentral:lncRNA from 1 species
CUUCCCAUACAACGCCGAUCAUUUCGGCCCCGAUCCAUAUAUAUGUCGCGAUGGUAAUCUUUAGGCGGUGGUGGCCCACCUCUAACAGGAGACCUGCUUCUCCCUCUAAUAUCUCGAGCCCAUUGGCCAUGAGCAAGUGCUGCUGGAGGUGGUGAAACUGGUCGUCUCUCAUACGGGCCAUGAGCAAGUGCUGCUGGAGGUGGUGAAACUGGUCGUCUCUCAUAUGCCCCUCUCCUCUCACUAAUGAAGCCAUCCCUUCCACGAUUUCUAGGGCCCAAAUCUAGGGGUACUGGUCUAUCGAACCUGUAUCUAUCCCUGAAGUCCUGGACUGGGAAAUCUGGUUCAUCU